rnacentral:rRNA from 1 species
GACGAACGCUGGCGGCGUGCUUAACACAUGCAAGUCGAACGGAAAGGCCCUGCUUUUGCGGCGUGCACGAGUGGCGAACGGGUGAGUAACACGCGAGUAACCUGCCCUUGUCAUUGGGAUAACAUCAGGAAACUGGGGCUCUUAUAGGAUAGGAGAUCCUGCUGCAUGGUGUGGGUUGGAAAGUUUCGGCGGUUGGGGCUGGUCUGGAGGCUUAUCCGCUGGUUGGUGGGGUAGUGGAUUACCAAGGCUUUGACGGGUAGCCGGCCUGAGAGGGUGACCGGCCACAAUGGGACUGAGAUACGGCCCAGACUCCUACGGGAGGCAGCAGUGGGGAAUAUUGCACAAUGGGCGGAAGCCUGAUGCAGCAACGCCGCGUGCGGGAUGACGGCUUUCGAGUUGUAAACCGCUGUCUCCUGUGACGAAGCGUGAUUGACGGUAAUUGGUAAAGAAGCACCGGCUAACUACGUG